AUCUCUUAAGACUUCACUUAAGCUUCACUGAUUUCUUGACUCUCCUCUUGAGUACAAGGACUCAGCCAACUAUGAAGUUUUUUGUCUUUGCUUUAAUCUUGGCUCUCAUGAUUUCCAUGACUAGAGCUGAUUCACAUGAAAAGGUAAGACAUUUUCAUUUACUGGAAAACUUGAUAAUUAAUCAUAUAUUGAAUUUUUAAUCUUUUCUUUUUAUUUCAUAGAGACAUCAUGGGUAUAGAAGAAAAUUCCAUGAAAAGCAUCAUUCACAUCGAGAAUUUCCAUUUUAUGGAGACUAUAGAUGAAAUUAUCUGUAUGACAAUUGAUAUCCUUAGUAAUCAUGGGGCAUGAUUAUAGAGGUAAGCUGACUCUAGUUACUUGUUUUUUCUAGAAGUGUCAACAUUGACAGUUUAAAAAAAAAAAAGCCAUAAGCUAACAACCAUUCCAGUUUAAGAAAUGUAGCAUGGGUUAGCUCCUUGAAGUGUAUCCAUUUAUAUAAAUGCUUCUGAAGCUGUAGAUGUGUGGUGUUAUUUCAGAGGUCUCUGUUCUGUUCCAUUGGUCUAUGUCUGCUUUGGUACCAGUACCAUGCUGUUUUGGUAACUGU
rnacentral:sRNA from 1 species